rnacentral:rRNA from 1 species
GAACGGAACUUGGGAGCUUGCUCCUUAAGUUUAGUGGCGGACUGGUGAGUAACGCGUGAGCAAUCUGCCUGUAAGAGGGGGACAACGGUUAGAAAUGACCGCUAAUACCGCAUAAUACCUUGGAGGACAUCCCCUGAGGUUGAAAGUGUUUAGUAAUAAAUGCGCUUACAGAUGAGCUCGCGUCCGAUUAGAUAGUUGGCGGGGUAACGGCCCACCAAGUCGACGAUCGGUAGCCGGACUGAGAGGUUGAACGGCCACAUCGGGACUGAGAUACGGCCCGGACUCCUACGGGAGGCAGCAGUGGGGGAUAUUGCACAAUGGAGGAAACUCUGAUGCAGCGACGCCGCGUGAGGGAAGAAGGUUUUCGGAUUGUAAACCUCUGUGGAGGGGGAAGAAAAUGACGGUACCCCUUUAGGAAGCCACGGCUAACUACGUGCCAGCAGCCGCGGUAAUACGUAGGUGGCGAGCGUUGUCCGGAAUUACUGGGUGUAAAGGGAGUGUAGGCGGGAUAUCAAGUCUGGAGUGAAAUACCACAGCUCAACUGUGGGACUGCUUUGGAAACUGAUAUUCUUGAGUGAUGCAGGGGCAAGCGGAAUUCCCGGUGUAGCGGUGGAAUGCGUAGAUAUCGGGAGGAAUACCGGUGGCGAAGGCGGCUUGCUGGGCAUUUACUGACGCUGAGGCUCGAAAGUGUGGGGAGCAAACAGGAUUAGAUACCCUGGUAGUCCACACUGUAAACGAUGAUUACUAGGUGUUGGUGGACAGAACCCAUCAGUGCCGCAGUUAACACAAUAAGUAAUCCACCUGGGGAGUACGACCGCAAGGUUGAAACUCAAAGGAAUUGACGGGGGCCCGCACAAGCAGUGGAGUAUGUGGUUUAAUUCGAAGCAACGCGAAGAACCUUACCGGGGCUUGACAUAGCACUGAACAUAGCAGAGAUGUUAUGGCUUCUUAGGAAGCAGUGUUACAGGUGGUGCAUGGUUGUCGUCAGCUCGUGUCGUGAGAUGUUGGGUUAAGUCCCGCAACGAGCGCAACCCUUGUUGACAGUUGCUACCUUUCGGGGAGCACUCUGUUGAGACUGCCGUUGACAAAACGGAGGAAGGCGGGGAUGAGGUCAAAUCAUCAUGCCCUUUAUGUCCCGGGCUACACACGUACUACAAUGGCGAUUAACAGACCGAAGCGAGGCCGCGAGGCGGAGCGAACCGGAAAAAAUCGUCUCAGUUCAGAUUGCAGGCUGAAACUCGCCUGUAUGAAGGCGGAAUUGCUAGUAAUCGCGAGUCAGCAUAUCGCGGUGAAUACGUUCCCGGGC